rnacentral:rRNA from 1 species
CUGGCGGCAGGCCUAACACAUGCAAGUCGAGCGCACUCUUCGGAGUGAGCGGCGGACGGGUUAGUAACGCGUGGGAACAUACCCUUUUCUACGGAAUAGCCUCGGGAAACUGAGAGUAAUACCGUAUACGCCCUUUUGGGGAAAGAUUUAUCGGUGAAGGAUUGGCCCGCGUUUGAUUAGAUAGUUGGUGGGGUAAUGGCCUACCAAGUCUACGAUCAAUAGCUGGUUUGAGAGGAUGAUCAGCAACACUGGGACUGAGACACGGCCCAGACUCCUACGGGAGGCAGCAGUGGGGAAUCUUAGACAAUGGGCGCAAGCCUGAUCUAGCCAUGCCGCGUGAGUGACGAAGGCCUUAGGGUCGUAAAGCUCUUUCGCCAGGGAUGAUAAUGACAGUACCUGGUAAAGAAACCCCGGCUAACUCCGUGCCAGCAGCCGCGGUAAUACGGAGGGGGUUAGCGUUGUUCGGAAUUACUGGGCGUAAAGCGCACGUAGGCGGAUUAGAAAGUUAGAGGUGAAAUCCCAGGGCUCAACCCUGGAACUGCCUUUAAAACUCCUAGUCUUGAGUUCGAGAGAGGUGAGUGGAAUUCCAAGUGUAGAGGUGAAAUUCGUAGAUAUUUGGAGGAACACCAGUGGCGAAGGCGGCUCACUGGCUCGAUACUGACGCUGAGGUGCGAAAGUGUGGGGAGCAAACAGGAUUAGAUACCCUGGUAGUCCACACCGUAAACGAUGAAUGCCAGUCGUCGGGUAGUAUACUAUUCGGUGACACACCUAACGGAUUAAGCAUUCCGCCCUG